rnacentral:rRNA from 1 species
CUCCGGUUGAUCCUGCCCGACCCGACUGCUAUCAGAGUGGGACUAAGCCAUGCGAGUCAACAUAGCAAUAUGUGGCAUACGGCUCAGUAACACGUAGUCAACAUGCCCAGGGGACGUGGAUAACCUCGGGAAACUGAGGAUAAACCGCGAUAGGUCAUCACUUCUGGAAUGGGUAAUGACUUAAAUCUAUAUGGCCCCUGGAUUGGACUGCGGCCGAUCAGGCUGUUGGUGAGGUAAUGGCCCACCAAACCUGUAACCGGUACGGGCUCUGAGAGGAGGAGCCCGGAGAUGGGCACUGAGACAAGGGCCCAGGCCCUAUGGGGCGCAGCAGGCGCGAAACCUCUGCAAUAGGCGAAAGCUUGACAGGGUUACUCUGAGUGAUUUCCGUUAAGGAGAUCUUUUGGCACCUCUAAAAAUGGUGCAGAAUAAGGGGUGGGCAAGUCUGGUGUCAGCCGCCGCGGUAAUACCAGCACCCCGAGUGGUCGGGACGUUUAUUGGGCCUAAAGCAUCCGUAGCCGGUUCCACAAGUCUUCCGUUAAAUCCACCUGCUUAACAGAUGGGCUGCGGAAGAUACUAUAGAGCUAGGAGGCGGGAGAGGCAAGCGGUACUCGAUGGGUAGGGGUAAAAUCCGUUGAUCCAUUGAAGACCACCAGUGGCGAAGGCGGCUUGCCAGAACGCGCUCGACGGUGAGGGAUGAAAGCUGGGGGAGCAAACCGGAUUAGAUACCCGGGUAGUCCCAGCUGUAAACGAUGCAGACUCGGUGAUGAGUUGGCUUAUUGCUAACUCAGUGCCGCAGGGAAGCCGUUAAGUUUGCAGCCUGGGGAGUACGGUCGCAAGACUGAAACUUAAAGGAAUUGGCGGGGGAGCA